rnacentral:rRNA from 15 species
GCGCUGAAAUAAAAAAGAAAAUUCGUAUUAUCAUCAUGGUCAAAGAUAAAAGAGAAAAAAAAAAUUAGAGUGUUCAAAGCAGACUUAUGCCGUUGAAUAUAUUAGCA